rnacentral:lncRNA from 1 species
AUUUUUUCCUGACAUUAGCACAUACAUAUCUAAAAUCUCUCUCUCUCUCUCUCUCUCUCUCUCUCCCCUUCUUUUCGGAUGGUAACGCUGCAUAUGUGUUGAGCAUUUAUAUUACAAAAGAAACAUUUUUUUAACAACUUCUCAUCCCAUUUCCCCAUUAAACAUCCUCGUUUUAUUUUCAUUCAUAUUUUAUAGCUGCUCAUUGGGUGUUUAAUCACGAGAAAGUUACAACACUACUUAUAAACAACGUAAUACUGCUAAUGGCCUCCUUUACCACCUCCCAUGUUAUUGUAAAUUUGCAAUAAAUAAAUAAAGGCGAGUCGAGGUAAAUAUAUUCCUUCAAAGCAUGUUGCAUCUGAGAUUUAAUUUUAUCUUCGUAUCUUAAUUUUGUUGAAAAAGCAAAAGGUUUAUAGAUGCAAUUCACCUUUCUUGUUUUGCUGUUUUCUCCAGACCAACAGCACACACACAGGAAGGAGAAAGGAAAGGAAAGAAAGGAAAAUGAAAUAGGGAGUCAGGGACGAGGUCGUAGUAUUGUUGUUCAAGAGUAUGAAUGGUUUAUACAUCCUACAUGCGGCAACAACCCACUGUUUUCUUUGGGUUAAGAGAGAAUUACCUAAUGCACUGUACAUUGCAUUUGAAUAUUCUGUUUUUAUUAAAUGCAAACGCAAACAUGAAUUGCAUCACAAGUUCAUAAAUUUAUGAUUUUUACUCUAGUCCUGUGCUUAUUUGAUGAAUUUAGAGCGAUGUAGAUCAAAUUACCCCUCGAGGAACUCAAGAGAAUUUGAUGUGUUGAAAGAUGAUUACGUGGGUUGGUUUAGCAAGUCAAGCAACGUUGCGACGAUUUGUAGUUGUGUUGUUGGGUUUGGUUAAAAUGUUGAUUUGCAGAUUAUUUAUGUUGGUACAGUCGACAAGAAGAGAAGGAAGUGGUAGUGGGCUGUUUGCGAUUAAUCUAUAGUGGCUACUGUUUUGUUGAUUUUGAGAAAUUCUGGGGUAGGUUUGUGAGAGUGGGCUAUUGAGAUGAAGAUAAUGGCUACUAGAAGCUAUGUCUGGCAAUCUGUUGUAUGGUGGCAGCUCUAGUGUUUGAAGACGAGGUGAUGUUGGGAGCUGUUGUGGAAGCUCUCUUGAAAGAUCUUCAAAUUGGUGAUUUUCGGGCUCAGUCCAACGCACCUUUCUCAACCAACAACUAGUCCAAUUGGCUCCAAACCACAACCAAUUGAUUCACCUUGGUUUCUAUUCAAUCUUCCCCACUUAGGACAAAAAAGGAUGAUGAUUUGUGGCUACAAAGGCUAGGAGAAGACACCACAAAGGUAUACUAUGAAGGAACCACCAAUUGCAAACGUUAUACAAGCGCUCUAGGCACUUCUAGAGACAUUUUUUCUCACACAAAAGGGGACAGCCGGGAUUCUCUUUUUCUUCUCUCAAAAUCACACAAUACAUCAUGAGAAAGUGGUUAGGGUUAUAGCCAUAUGUAUACUCUAGGGUUAGGUUUUAAGUUGGACCAUUAAAGGGGUAAACGGGCCAAGAUUCAAGCCAUCCAUAAGGGAAUAAAAUUGGACCGGGUGUAGCUCAUGGACUUAGUUGUUGGACUUAUUUCAUUCAUCGGUCUAUGCCUAUGAAAU